rnacentral:lncRNA from 1 species
CACUUACCAGCAGGCUUCUCUGCAGGGUUUGGUCAUGCUGCCACAGUUGAGAGGGGCAGGGUAGUCAGUUAAGUGUUUCUCACUUAUCUCUGGGACUCUAGCACUUGACGUAGACUCUGGCCUAACCGGUGCUGAAUAAAUGUUUAGAAAGGGGGGAUGAUUAUACAUAUAAUGAUCAUAUUUGAUUUUAAUGGGAAAGGUGCUUCACCCUGCAGGGAAACUAAUGAUGCCAGAUCAUCUUUCCUGUGAGAUAUACUUCUCUUCUGGCCAACCGCUGCUGCUGCUGCUGCUCCUCCUCCUCCUUCUCUUCCUCUUCCUCUUCUUCCUCCUCUUCCUCUCCCUCCUCCUCUUCCUCCUCCAUUCUCCUCCUCCCCCUUCAAAAACUAUGCAAAGACUGGGACAUAGCUUCAUGGUAGAGCAUGGCCCUGUGUUUGAUACCCAGAAUUGCAACAAUAAUAAAAUUAUAAUAGGAAAGUAUGUAAACUACCCUGAGGCUCUUUGAUACCCAAAGCAGCUCUCUCAGAAACUGUAGUACCAACAGUAUAUAUAGUAUCAGGUAGAAAUCCCAAGUACCCCAGUGGUACCCCUUGACAGUUUACUGUGCAUAGACAUGUUAGUAGCCUGUAUUCAUGUAAGCCAUGUGACAUUUUUGUAACUGUAUAUUAUACAAUGUACCAUGUUCCAUGUAGAAUAUAAGAGGAGAAUGGUAUUCAACUCUUGUUCUCAAAGAGGAAUCACACAUACAGUCAAUCACAUAAACAUGGACAGAGUUUAAGGUAUAAUUUGAAGAAUUUUGGAUUAUGUAAAGACUAUGUAACUACUAUGUUUGGGACCCCAGAAGUUCUCCUCCAUUCCUCCUGGUUCUGCUGUUCUGAUUCUAUCAUGAGAGCCUGCUGACUUCCAAUCCUAGCCACCUUUUCAUUUGCCUGCUAGUUCUCCAUUCAAAAAUCUUAGUGUGGAGUAACUGGCCUGUCAGUUUGUCUUCCUAUGCUGUGUUGUGUUUCUGCAGCCUCGGCCACAUGAUAUUUUCCCUGGUGAGACUUAAAAUUGGUGAUCCAGGUUGUCUCUACCAUACCAAGUUCUAAUCAUAAGUUGAAAAUUUGCCAUAAGCUAUCAGACAGCAUGAAACAAGGUAAAGAAGAAAGACUGACUGUAGUCAGUUAGCCUAGAUGGAGCUGUUGGUCCUCUGACACUCAGACAGAAGAUCACAAGUUCAAGGCCUGCAGAGUGUGCAGAGUGAGCGCAAGGGAACAGCUUUGUGAGCUCUUACCUCAGAAUAUAAAGUGGAAAACAGGUUGCGAUGCAGCCGGGUGAUAGAGCACCUAUGAUUUACAGCUGAAGACCCAGAGAAAUGAAAACCUGGCCUUCCUACGUCCCAGGUGUGUUUUGUGUUGUCUGAACUGAAACACUGAGUUAACGAAACCGAUAGCUGUUUCUCAUGGGCCCUGAUUAGUGUAUUACCCAAACAUUCCUAGUCACUCAAACCCAGAGAAAAAUCACGGGGUGGGUAAACGCUUUGUGAGAUUAUGACAGGUUUCUCUUUAGACAGACGUCUAAACUGCCCCCUAUGGAGAAGGUCUUUUUUUGGACCUCGCUCUGUCAGAGCACACUUUCUUACCGAGGGAAGUCAGUUACUGGCUUUCCUUUUGGAAUUUUGUGACUUGAUUUCUUUGUAGAAGUUGAGAGUUUUGGGGAGUCCUUUGACUUUUGUGAUGCCGCCACUGCAAGAUUUCGGGUUUGCUCAGAGGUUGGAUGUGUAAAGAAGGGGCUAGAAUGCUUUUGUAUCUAUGAAUGAGAAGCCCAUGCAGCAGUGGGCCAGGAGGCACAAAGGCACUCCUUGUGUUCAUCCCUUUAAUUGAAUAUUUAAGCUGAGCGCAGAAUUUAAACCUCGAGGUCAAUGGUGGAGAAGACCUAAUUUUUUUCAUGUAUGCAAAAAGACCACAAACCCACACAUGUCCUCACCACCUUUUUGUCUGUGUUUUGUUUUGUUUUAGGGAGGUUGAGUUUGUUUUGUUUUUUUCCAAACAGGGUUUUCUCUGUGUUGCCCUGACUGUUCUGGAACUCACAGAAGUCAUCUUCUGUCUCCCAAACAACUUCAGGAAAUUUUUUUUUUGUUGUUUUUAUUUUAUUUUAUUUUAUUUUAUCUUUUGGAACUUUAAAGAAUCACAAACAAGCCAGGUGGCAGUAGCACACUCCUAAAUUUAAUCCCAGCACCCAGUGGGCAGAGGCAGGCAUAUUUCUGUUACUUCGAGGCCAACGGGUCUACAGAGUGAGUUUGAGGCCAGCUGGGGAUACACAGAGAAAACCUGUCGCAAAAAAUAGCAACAAACCCAAAACCAAAACAACAACAACAAAAGAAUCAUAAACAAAAUAAAAGAAAUGUUUACUUCUUAAAUUGAGUUUUUAGCAGAUACAUAAUAUUUGAUGAAACACCAAAUUGCAGAUACAUAAUAUUUGAUGAAACACCAAAUUUAUCUAGGCUAAUUUCUUCCUAAGCUUCUUUAACCAAAAUGCAACUCUUCCUGUAAACGGAGUGAGAUAAGGCUGGGGUACCGUGGGCUCUCGAUGGCAUUCGUCGCUGCUCUUAGUGAACCAGCUGUGGCAAUACAUCCUGUAGCUCCAACCCGUGGAAGACGGAGACCUCAGCCAAUCAGUCAUCAGUCCAAGAACUUUAAAACGCUGUUGGCUAGGGCUAAUAGACUGCAACAAAACGGUGAACCCUUUGCUGUUGUUUUGACUUUAAGUUGAGUAUCGACCUGCCUCUCUCUCUCUCUCCUUUCUAAGUACUAGGACUACAGGCAUAUGCCACACACCUCCCCGGAUGUAAAAUACUUAGAUUGUGGAGAGGAGAGGAGCCUCACGCUGGGAUUGAACCCAGGGUUGCAUACAACUUAGGGUUAGUGUCAGUACUCCACCACUAAGUUGCCUGCAUUUGAAAAUGAUUGUAUAGGCUUGAUGAUGAAUGAAUUUUAAGGCUCUGAUAAAAAUAUUUUUUAAGUUCUCAGAUGUUGGUCCUAAGAAGUUAAGCUUUGUAUCAAGAUGAAAUAUUUUUUUAAAUGUCAAGAUACCCUUUAUUAUAUAG